ensembl:processed_transcript Gm12299 predicted gene 12299
AGGAAGAAGAGUUUCUCCUUGGUCUGAGAGCACCUGAAAGGGUUGUGAGGGACCAGGUACACCUCACCUGGGUGGUCUCUUAAACUAACUAAGGAUUCCUUCUGAUCCCUGUCAAGCGGAUGAACUCAGAUGCCCAGCUUCUCCAGGAAAGAAACAGUCACUCUCAGUCCUGCCAAGAUCAGGAUGGAGGAAAGUGGAUAUGCAACAGGAUGGUAGUGAGAUAGUGACAUAUUGAGAGAGUUUUGUAGUAGGGGUGGGGGAGAUGUAGGAAUGGAGGAUAGUUCUGUGCUGUGUCCUCCUGAGGGAAAUGGAGGAAUACUUUCCGUCCUCCUCUGAACCACUGACACCAGAGCUUCUAAACUGGAGCUGACGUGAAUUCCUUCACUUCUUGGAUACAUUUGGCCAUAUCUGAAGACCGUUUUGACUAUCAUGCGUUGGAGAUCUCUAACCAGCAUCAGGUGACUAGAGAUGCUCUUUAAGCAACCUUUACAACACACAGAAGAGCAAAACAAAACAAACUGCCCAACCCCGAAUGUCAUCAGUGCUGAGAAACCUGGCCUAAGAGUGACUGCGGCUUAUGGAUUAUCACCAGCGUCAUGGAGCUACAUCAAACUGGAGUGCUCUCUAAUGUCCAUAACUUUGUAUCUCUAAGUCUCUGAAGACCCAACCCACACAUCACCGCAGUGGAUCAGAGGCAGGGAUAGGAACAAAUAAGAGAGAACAAUAAUUGGGCACCUACUAUGUGCCAGAAGUCCCAAUAGAGUAGAUACACUACAGUCCUUCACUACUAAAGGGCAAAUAUAAAACUGUCCUGGGUCCCCCCACACACACACUCCCCCUUUUCCUUUGCCAUCAACUGGUUAGACAUGCAAGUAGAGAAAUUCAAGAAUUUGGGAAGUCACUCCUAUUCGUUAAGAUAAGAGAAAUUCAACUUCAGCCGUGCAUGAAGGCUUCUGUGGUGUUCACACAGGAAUCCACAGAAGGAGAAAGAUAAUAGGGCUAGGGGAAAUGGGAGUGGCCUCAGGCCCUGAAGUUCAUCUGGCAUCCCAUCUGUCAAGUCUAACUUGACAUCCAGCCCACCAGUCUGGCUGCCAAUCAAAUCCUCCAAUCAGGCUUCUGGGAGUGAAGUCUUAACUAGGAAGGAUUCCUGUUGCUCUUGCUCUCCACAGGCUCUGAUGACCACCUCCUCCACCUGGGCUGAGGAAAGAGAAAUAGAGAGCAAGUGCUCACCCAAAGAGAAGCAUAAAGCGAUCGUUCACCGGAGAUGAAAGGCCUCACUUCCUGCCGGCGGUGGACAGGGCUGCAUCUGUUUGUCUGCAGCAACUAGAGGAGCCAGUAUCUCAGCAGAACUGGCUCAGAGCACACCCAGUGGACAAAUCUGACAAAUGUCUUUCACCAGCCUUUGUAGAACUUUGUGCAGUGCUUUCUAGAAACAAGCAGAAGCUGUGUCAAGCAUAUAAUCUCCAACUAGUGCUGCCUUCAGGGUCUUUAAGAAGAAACAUGUCCCAGGCAGCCACAGGGGACCAGGCACCAAUGAAGAGGAUUUUGUUAGGAGAACAGAACAAUUGGUCAGGGGCAGUAAUUCCCAGACCAUGGGACACUCCACCCUUCAAACCAAAACCAAUCUAUGAGUAAACUGCCAAGGACUGUCCUUUCACUCAGGAUCCAGCCUUGAAUCAAGACUCUAGUAUUGCCCUCACCCCCCCCCCCCCAGCACUGCCCGUGUUCUUCACAAAGGACUGUGAGCGUGGCCCCUGUCAUCAGUUUGCUGGGAGCAUUUUCCAGGCUCUACACAGAGCUGGGCAGAGCCAAGUGUCUUCUCCCUCAUUCAUUCACUCUCUAAACCUUUACAUAACUGAAAAUACAUCAAGUAGUGGGGGCUCUAGAAAGAAAAAUAUGACAAAGCCAGGAGACAGAGUAUGGCUGUAGGGAGUCAGGAAUGUUUUUCCUUUGAGGCGCAAUUUGAUCAGAAACCCAAUGACGUGAGACUCUGCCAGACCCACAUAUAAUGAAAGUCAGGGCUAGGGAAGUAACUCGUUGCUAAAGUAUAUGUUUGGCAUGUGACAAAACUUUAUUAUCAGCCCCGUCCAAACAAAAUAAUAAACAAACAAACAAACAAAUGGUAGUUACAGGGUAGGAGAAGGCCUGGCUGAAUCUGAAGACACACACCUGUAAGCUUUAACCCCAGCACUCAGGGAGCAGAGGCAGGUGGAUUUCUGUGAAUAUGAAGCCCAUCUACUCUACAUAUUGAGUUUCAAGCCAGCCACUGUUACAGGAUUAGAUCAUAUCAAAAACAACAAAACAAAAUAAAACAAAUACCCCAAAAC